rnacentral:rRNA from 1 species
GAUGAACGCUAGCUACAGGCUUAACACAUGCAAGUCGCGGGGCAGCAUGGGGGUUGCUUGCAAUCCCCGAUGGCGACCGGCGCACGGGUGAGUAACGCGUAUCCAACCUGCCCUUCACCACGGGAUAACCCGGCGAAAGUCGGACCAAUACCGUAUGUUGUCCAUUGACGGCAUCCGAUUUGGACGAAAGGUUUGGCGGUGAAGGAUGGGGAUGCGUCCGAUUAGCUGGACGGCGGGGUGACGGCCCACCGUGGCGACGAUCGGUAGGGGUUCUGAGAGGAAGGUCCCCCACACUGGAACUGAGACACGGUCCAGACUCCUACGGGAGGCAGCAGUGAGGAAUAUUGGUCAAUGGGCGUAAGCCUGAACCAGCCAAGUAGCGUGCAGGAUGACGGCCCUAUGGGUUGUAAACUGCUUUUAUGCGGGGAUAAAGUGGCCCACGUGUGGGUUUUUGCAGGUACCGCAUGAAUAAGGACCGGCUAAUUCCGUG